rnacentral:rRNA from 1 species
GACGAACGCUGGCGGCGUGCUUAACACAUGCAAGUCGAACGAUGAAGCCCAGCUUGCUGGGUGGAUUAGUGGCGAACGGGUGAGUAACACGUGGGCAACCUGCCCCAAACUCUGGGAUAACUCCUCGAAAGAGGUGCUAAUACCGGAUACGCACCAGGUAGACAUCUGCACCAGUUGGAAAGGUUUUCGGUUUGGGAUGGGCCCGCGGCCUAUCAGCUUGUUGGUGAGGUAACGGCUCACCAAGGCUACGACGGGUGACCGGCCUGAGAGGGCGACCGGUCACACUGGGACUGAGACACGGCCCAGACUCCUACGGGAGGCAGCAGUGGGGAAUAUUGCGCAAUGGGCGAAAGCCUGACGCAGCGACGCCGCGUGAGGGAUGAAGGUCUUCGGAUCGUAAACCUCUUUCAGUAGGGACGAAGCGAAAGUGACGGUACCUAAAGAAGAAGCACCGGCUAACUACGUGCCAGCCGCCGCAGUAA